CAGGUUCAGGGUAGCGUUUUGAACACAUGCUUUGCGUUGUGCCGGCGAAAUGCACAUUUCUUGUCGCAUUGUGCCGGCGAAAUGCACACUUCUUGGACCCCUGCAUAACUGCUUGCAGUUCUAGUUCUUUUUAUUAUUAUUCCCAGCUAGAAGUGGUACCACACCCCAAACCGUAAAUGGUGCCGACACGCCAAUUGCAUGACUAGAUCCAGGUCUGUGAUGUGUACGCAGACGACAAAAUCCAGACACGCCGAACACUAGGUGGCGCUAUACCAAGGAAUACGCGUUUGGGGCUAUAACUCCCACACCGAACCUCCCACAUUCAAAACCUUGUACACACAGAUUCACUGGAGUCUGCUGCAUCUUUUGGCAUAGGCCACGCCCAUUUGCGUCCAGAAUUUUUUUUCACAAAAUCGCGAAAACCGCAAAACUG
ensembl:lncRNA